UAGCUCAGUCGGUAAAAGAAUCUGCCUGCGAUGCAGGAUACCCAGGUUCGAUUCCUGG
rnacentral:tRNA from 1 species